ACGGGUGAGUAACACGUAGGCAACCUGCCUGAAGGAUCGGGAUAACUAUCGGAAACGAUAGCUAAGACCGAAUAAUUGGCACUUUCGCAUGAAGGCGUCAUGAAACACGGAGCAAUCUGUGGCCUUUGGAUGGGCCUGCGGCGCAUUAGCUAGUAGGUGAGGUAACGGCUCACCUAGGCGACGAUGCGUAGCCGACCUGAGAGGGUGAACGGCCACACUGGGACUGAGACACGGCCCAGACUCCUACGGGAGGCAGCAGUAGGGAAUCUUCCGCAAUGGACGCAAGUCUGACGGAGCAACGCCGCGUGAGUGAUGAAGGUUUUCGGAUCGUAAAGCUCUGUUGCCCUAGACGAACGAGUCAGAGAGUAACUGCUCUGGCUGUGACGGUAUAGGAGAAGAAAGCCCCGGCUAACUACGUGCCAGCAGCCGCGGUAAUACGUAGGGGGCAAGCGUUGUCCGGAAUUAUUGGGCGUAAAGCGCGUGCAGGCGGUUCAGUAAGUUGGAUGUUUAAAGCCGGGGCUCAACCCCGGUGCGCAUCCAAAACUGGUGGACUUGAGUGUAGGAGAGGAAAGUGGAAUUCCACGUGU
rnacentral:rRNA from 1 species